GCCAGGCAUGGUGGUGUGUGCCUGUAAUCCUAGCUGCUUGGAGGCUGAGGCAGGAGGAUCCCUUGAACCCAGGAGGCGGAGGUUGCAGUGAACUGAGAUCGUGCCACUGCACUCCAACCUGGGUGACAGAGUGAGAUUCUGUCUCCA
rnacentral:SRP_RNA from 1 species